UUUUUUCUCUGGACUCUAAGCUGGUUGAUGCCACCAGGCCUUGGGGAAAAGCCUGCCUUCUGAUAGGAUUGCUAUUGAGUAGCAAAAAUUCUUGGAUUCUGGUAACAUCUUUAAUGCAGAAACUCAAAGCAUCUCCCAAAUCAUAAGCCCAUUCUUUUACACUGUUCUACACUCUCACACUCUAAGAACAACUAAUUUCAAUCUUGGGACAUUGACCAGAAUUCAGGGAAACUAGCAUGAUCCUUCCAGUCUGAUGUUUCAUUCCAUCUACUGUCCAAAGCUGUGUCUACAGGGCAUCACCUAUGAGACAGUAAAACAAACCCUCUGAAAUCAGGAAAUUUGCCAGAAGCUGGCAAGCUGGGAAGAAAUAAAACCAGGAUUUGAGCCAG